CACAAAUUGGCAAUUUUGUUUUUGGGGGGUGCACAUAGCUGGUCUUCCCUAUGGCACAAAACAGUCUUAACCAGCCCUGAAUGUAGUGGUGUAAUUGUGGGUAGUGUCGCCAUCUGAAAGCAGUGGUGUACUUGUGUGUAGUUUUUGCAUUUGAAUGCUGGAAUGUGUUUAUAUGUCGUGUUGGAGUCUGAAUGCAGGGGUGUAUUUUGUAUAUACGAUUGUCAUUUUAAUACUGGUACUGGUGUUUGAUUGAAGGAGUGUAUUUGUAUGUAGUAUUGGUGUUUAAGUGCAGGCAUGUAUCUGUGUGUUGUGUUGGUGAUUGAAUGCAGAUAUGUAUUUGUGGUGUUGGCAUUUAAAUGGAGGAGUGUUUUUGGAGUCAUUUUAAUACAAGGGUGUGUUUGUAUUUUGGUGUUUGAUUGCAGGAGUGCUUUGACUGUAGUGUUGGUAUAUCACUGCAUGGGUGUGUUUGUGUGCAGCGUUGCAGCGUUGGUGUUUGAAUGCUGGGAUGUAUGAACAUUAACACAUACAACAACACACACACAGGACCACACACUGACUCAGAUACAUAUUGAGGCUCACACACAGAUAUACAUACACAUUGAGGCUCACACACAGAUACACACAUUGACACACAGAAAUACACACACAUACACACACUGACAUACACACACAAACAGGUCAGAAUUGACAUAUUUUAGCCAUCUUCCUGUUUCUGAACCUUUUGAGUGCAGGAGAGUGGCAGCCUUCAGGUCUACUAGCUGCAGCUGGUAAGUAUCUCUACCUACCUUUCGUCAUGCACACUAAGCGGAGAUGUCACCUUCGGGGGUUCUCGAUUUAAUAUGCAAAGACCCCUGAAAGUGACAGACCCGCUUUACACCAUAGAUCACACGUUUCC